rnacentral:rRNA from 1 species
AGUCGAACGGCAGCAUGAGAGAGCUUGCUCUCUUGAUGGCGAGUGGCGGACGGGUGAGUAAUGUAUCGGAACGUGCCCGGUAGUGGGGGAUAACUACGCGAAAGCGUAGCUAAUACCGCAUAUUCUCUACGGAGGAAAGAGGGGGAUCGUAAGACCUCUUGCUACCGGAGCGGCCGAUAUCAGAUUAGCUGGUUGGUGGGGUAACGGCCUACCAAGGCGGUGAUCUGUAGCUGGUUUGAGAGGACGACCAGCCACACUGGGACUGAGACACGGCCCAGACUCCUACGGGAGGCAGCAGUGGGGAAUUUUCGACAAUGGGGGGAACCCUGAUCGAGCCAUCUCGCGUGUGGGACGAAGGCCUUCGGGUUGUAAACCACUUUUCUCAACGAAGAAAAGUCUUAGGCUAAUACCUUAAGAUGCUGACGGUAGUUGAGGAAUAAGCACCGGCUAACUACGUGCCAGCAGCCGCGGUAAUACGUAGGGUGCGAGCGUUAAUCGCUCGGAACUGCACUAUUAACUGCCCAGGCUAGAG